CCCACCCCUCCAUUUUUCCCUAGCCGCCACUCUCUCUUCUCUUUUUUUUCUCUCACGCGCAGCUUUCUUCUUCCUCUGUUCCUGGCGCAGGAACCUUCCUCCCUCCCUCUGCUGUUCACGGCGAGCAGCCAGCAGGGAGCUCAGCUCCUCCACUUCUUCCCCUCGGCCAGCCAUGGCGCUCGGCACCCUUGUAGCAGGGACAACGCCCUUCCUCCCUCCCUUUUUCUGCCCAUGGCCGUCCGGCCCUGCACAGCGAUCCCUCCCCCUGGCUCCACCGCGCAGAGCAGUUUCUCCGGGUCCGAACUCGAGCAGUGGCCCGCCGUCGCCCAUGGCCGACCAUCUUCCAUGGAGAUCGGCGCCCCCCUUGUUCCUGGGUGACCGGUGCUCUGUACGGUUUCUGCCCCCCCCCCCCCCUCCUCCAGUCCUUGGAGCUCUGCACUCCCAUCUCCUAGGCGAGCUCCUCCAGCACUGAGCACUCUCUACACCAGCAGAUCCUACUCUUUUCCAUGGUGGCCGAGCACAGCUACCUCCAUGGACGCCCCCCUGCUCGCGUCAAGGGUGGCCAGCUCCCUGCUGUCGCCGACCAUGGCUGCCCAGCAGCAGGAAACUUUCUCCCCUCCCUGCUCCAUUUUUUUUCCCUGUGCCCUCCUCUGCAAACAGCGAGCCCCCUCCUCACUGUUCUCCGUGGCGCCCGCCGGCUGUUCGUAAAAAUGUGCAGCAAGCCGCAUGCUGCCGGCUCGCUGUUUCGUGAAGCCCGGUAGACAGCACGCCGUGACGCUCGCCGGGCGUUUGCUGUUUUUGGCGCAGACCCGCUCGCGAUGUCAUCGACCCUCGCCACCAUCAAAGUCGCGCUCCGCGCUUGGCCGUUCGACGAAAUGCCAAGCCUUGUGGACAACCCAUGUGACUAGCCUCGAUUCGUCCAGGUUGUUCACUUGGUAUUUUGUGGAUUAAUCUGUUUAAGCUUUGGUCUAUGUUGUGCAUGUGUAAGAAAAUGUAUUUGUA